ensembl:misc_RNA Y_RNA Y RNA
AAGGUGGGUUUAUAGCUUAUCACAACCAGUUACAAAUUUAUUUGUUCCUUCUCCAUUCCCACUGCUUCAC